rnacentral:misc_RNA from 1 species
GAUGAAGAACGUAGCGAAAUGCGAUAAGUAAUGUGAAUUGCAGAAUUCAGUGAAUCAUCGAAUCUUUGAACGCACCUUGCGCUCCUUGGUAUUCCGAGGAGCAUGCCUGUUUGAGUGUCAUGAAAUUCUCAACCUUUCUGGCUUUUGCUAGUCAGGCUUGGAUUAUGGGAGCUGCUGGCUUUUGAAGUCGGCACUUCUAAAAUGUAUUAGCAAGAUCAUUGCUGCUCAUCAUUGGUAUGAUAAUUAUCUAUAUCAUUGAGAGUCAGUUUCCUUUAUUGGAAGAUUUUGCUCCUAACGGUCUUUAGCAAGACAACAUUUGACGAUUUUGACCUCAAAUCAGGUAGGACUACCCGCUGAACUUAAGCAUAUCAAUAAGCGGAGGA